rnacentral:lncRNA from 1 species
UUUUUUUUUUUUUUUUUUUUUUUUUUUUUUUUUUUUGGCCUGGUCCCCAAGAGGCAGCAGGAGGAGCAGACCGACAGUUCCCAGCCUGGAGCCGUCCCCACAGCCUGGCGCACGAAGUGUUGCUGCCUAGGUGAAACAGGCUCCUUAGCCACACAGUAGCUGUCCCAUCUGCAGGUGAGAGAGGCUGGGGUCGUGACUGAGGACUGGAGGAGUGAGGUCCCUCAACAUCACAGCAGAAACAGUCGAUGGCCUCAGGCAGUGGACCAGGUUUCCUGAAGCUCUGUAGGGACAGCACCAAGUGUGCAGAGCUUGGCACAUCUGGUGAAACACUCAACAAAUGCCUGACAAGAGCCGAGUCACCAAUGGAUCACACAUUGAUUGGUGAAGCCACAAAGUUUUGGAAGGGGGCAGAUGUGGAAAGCUCACCCGGCACCCCGUUUUGUCACCAAGUGCCACUACCCAACCCGACAUGCUACCCUGACUGCCAAAUGCUUUGGAUGCAGCAGUUUACAUAAAUUUCGUCUUCUCAGUUCAGAGCAUCAUAAUGACUCCCUUGACCGUGCUUAUAUUUAGAGCAUCUGCAUCUGACUCUUGGACAGGGGAGCAGCUUUCCGCCCUGUUCUGAACAGGCCUUCACUGCCUCUUCAUCCACUGUCCUCACCAGACCACAGAAGCCACCAUUUACUGAGCAACUUCUAUGUCCCAGGAAAGACAGAGGGAUUUACAGUAUUGGAUUUAGCCCUCUGAAAGCAUCUUAGGUACACAUUAUCAUUUUCAUUUUAGAGGUGAUAACAUGGAAGCCUUAUAAAGGUUAGGCCAUUUGUCACCAGAAAAUGCCUGGAAAAUGGCAGAGCUGGAAUUUGAACCAUCACCAAGCAUCCCCACUGCCAAACAGCAGCAUCCAGGGGCAACAUCUGAAUGGUGGUCAGACCCCUCCCUCAGGCUGCCUCCAUGCCCAUUAGUGGUGAGAUACAGGUAAGGAUUUUCCAUAACAACCAGGCCAUUGUUUCUGUGAUGCUCAUUCAUGUAGUAAGGCUCUGGGCCGAGGAUUUAGCUCAGUGGUUCCGGCACCUGCCUGGCGAACACAAGGUCCUGAGUUUGAUCCCUGGUACCAAAAAAAAAAAAAAAAAAAGACCGUGUAGUAAGGCUGUCAUAUUUGCUUUUCCAGAAGUGA